rnacentral:misc_RNA from 1 species
UGCCAUCAUCUAACUAGUCUGCAUCUACAGUUUCAAGAUACAAAUCAUGAAAAAGCAGACAAUGUGCAGGAGAUAAUUCUCAUACUAUGCAAUGGCACCAAGUUAGUUUAAGAACACAUAAUUUGCGCUCUUAAAGGGGUGUCUGACUGUUCAAGGAAGUUGAAGACAUUGUGGAAAGCACAUCUGUCACAGAAGCCAUCACACUCAAGGCAGCUUUCAGAACUUCCUGUGAACACCCUGGUUUCACAAUAGUUCGUACCUUGUCAAGGUAUUCCUGCAGUUCCUUUAUCCGGCCCAUGUAAUCCUGGUCUUCAACACAGAGAGUUAAUGGCUUAGCAUCAGCACCAGGACCUUCGAAUUGUAGGGGCCCUGGAUUUCUGUAUAGAUCAUCCAUUAAAAACUUUAUUGCAUUUUCUCUGAGCAGCUCAUAUGCUUUGCCUUUCAAAUCCACUGUAGCUGGAUGUAUAGCAGGUUUUCCAAUUGAAGUGGCACCUGGACUUUGAGCCCAUCGCUUCACCGUCAUCAUUGCUGUAAUUGGAGCAGCACCACAACGCCACUUGUUCACAGGAUUCUUCAGGUUAGUUACAGUUGCCAUGUAGCCAUUCAAACCAGCUGCUAGAAUAUGGUAGCAGAUGUGUCCAAGCACAUAGGCAUAGUCGCAAUCAAAUUUCGAUGGCACAGAACCCCGGGCCUGAUAACC